GAGCAAAAAACGGGAAGCAAAAAGCACAUUGUAGAUCAGGCUUAAUAAAAAAAAAAGUCAUAAAAACGCAUGAAGUGGUCGUGCUCUUUUCCGCGUAUAUAUGUGAUUGGCAAGCGAGGAUGCUGUCGAUAGUGUCGAUGGUGAUCGAGAUCGUGACGAGUUCUGCGAGUUCUCGUGUGUAACAGUUCGCGUCGUGUCUAAUACAUAUUAUUUAUAUAUUUUAUUCAUAUAUAUGUAAUAAAUAUAAAUAUAUAUAAAUAUAUAUAAUUCAUAUUACCUACUUAUUGUACACUCAAUAUCAAACAUUAUCAUGAGGUUAUUAUGGUUAUGUGAAGAAGCUCUCAACAUGUAGUGAUUUACGAAAAAGAAAUAAAGGGAAAGAAAAUUUCAAAGAAAUAGGAGAGAGUGCCGUUAUACUAACCAUAUUUACCAAGAUAAUUAUAUAGGGAAACGGAGGGUAGCCCCGGUCAGUGGAUAGCCCCGGACAUUAUUGAAAUUCAAGUAUACCGCGUAUCUAUGGCCAUUGUUUAAACAUUCUAAUAUUGCCCUUCUGCGUAUCUCCGACAUAUGCAGAAUGUUUAAACAAUGGCCAUAGCUACGCGGUAUAUUCGAAUUUUAAUAAUGUCCGGAGCUAUCCUCCUGGGUAACUCCGGUAUUUACGCCGCGCGGAGUUUUACGCCGCAGAUGUCAGAAAAAAUAGAAGAAAUGAAGUUCUUUACUGUUAAUAUUAACGAACCUAUCGUGAGUUCAAUCGAUUUCUUACUGUCGUAAGAAUUUAAGCGCGAUCUUGAUGUGUUACGACCGUCUAUGGUUACGACCUAUGUAAAAAUGAUUACUGUAGAGAAUGUAAAAGGUUUAAUGGUUAUUUUAUGAUACAUAAGUGUAGAGGGAUAGUAAAUAAUGGAA